GCGCCCAUAGCUCAGCAGGAUAGAGCGUCGGUUUCCUAAACCGCAGGUCAGGGGUUCGAAUCCCUUUGGGCGCACCA
rnacentral:tRNA from 1 species